rnacentral:rRNA from 1 species
AACGAACGCUGGCGGCAGGCCUAACACAUGCAAGUCGAGCGAGGACUUCGGUUCUAGCGGCGGACGGGUGAGUAACGCGUGGGAAUGUGCCCUUCUCUACGGAAUAGCCCUGGGAAACUGGGAGUAAUACCGUAUACGCCCUAUUGGGGAAAGAUUUAUCGGAGAAGGAUCAGCCCGCGUUGGAUUAGGUAGUUGGUGGGGUAAUGGCCUACUAAGCCGACGAUCCAUAGCUGGUUUGAGAGGAUGAUCAGCCACACUGGGACUGAGACACGGCCCAGACUCCUACGGGAGGCAGCAGUGGGGAAUCUUAGACAAUGGGGGCAACCCUGAUCGAGCCAUGCCGCGUGAGUGAUGAAGGCCUUAGGGUUGUAAAGCUCUUUCAGCUGGGAAGAUAAUGACGGUACCAGCAGAAGAAGCCCCGGCUAACUCCGUG